rnacentral:rRNA from 1 species
AACUGAUUAGAAGCUUGCUUCUAUGACGUUAGCGGCGGACGGGUGAGUAACACGUGGGCAACCUGCCUGUAAGACUGGGAUAACUCCGGGAAACCGGAGCUAAUACCGGAUAACAUUUUCUCUUGCAUAAGAGAAAAUUGAAAGAUGGUUUCGGCUAUCACUUACAGAUGGGCCCGCGGUGCAUUAGCUAGUUGGUGAGGUAACGGCUCACCAAGGCAACGAUGCAUAGCCGACCUGAGAGGGUGAUCGGCCACACUGGGACUGAGACACGGCCCAGACUCCUACGGGAGGCAGCAGUGGUCUGC